rnacentral:rRNA from 1 species
UACAGAGGGGGCAAGCGUUGUUCGGAAUUACUGGGCGUAAAGGGCGCGUAGGCGGCCUUCUAAGUCGAACGUGAAAUCCCCGGGCUCAACCCGGGAACUGCGUCCAAGACUGGAAGGCUUGAAUCCGGGAGAGGGAUGUGGAAUUCCAGGUGUAGCGGUGAAAUGCGUAGAUAUCUGGAGGAACAUCGGUGGCGAAGGCGGCAUCCUGGACCGGUAUUGACGCUGAGGCGCGAAAGCCAGGGGAGCAAACGGG